rnacentral:rRNA from 1 species
GAUGAACGCUGGCGGCGUGCCUAAUACAUGCAAGUCGAGCGAACAGACGAGGAGCUUGCUCUUCUGACGUUAGCGGCGGACGGGUGAGUAACACGUGGAUAACCUACCUAUAAGACUGGGAUAACUUCGGGAAACCGGAGCUAAUACCGGAUAACAUGUUGAACCGCAUGGUUCAACAGUGAAAGACGGUCUUGCUGUCACUUAUAGAUGGAUCCGCGCCGCAUUAGCUAGUUGGUAAGGUAACGGCUUACCAAGGCAACGAUGCGUAGCCGACCUGAGAGGGUGAUCGGCCACACUGGAACUGAGACACGGUCCAGACUCCUACGGGAGGCAGCAGUAGGGAAUCUUCCGCAAUGGGCGAAAGCCUGACGGAGCAACGCCGCGUGAGUGAAGAAGGUCUUCGGAUCGUAAAACUCUGUUAUUAGGGAAGAACAAAUGUGUAAGUAACUAUGCACGUCUUGACGGUACCUAAUCAGAAAGCCACGGCUAACUACGUG